AUUGAACGCUGGCGGCAGGCCUAACACAUGCAAGUCGGACGGUAGCACAGAGGAGCUUGCUCCUCGGGUGACGAGUGGCGGACGGGUGAGUAAUGUCUGGGGAUCUGCCCGAUAGAGGGGGAUAACCACUGGAAACGGUGGCUAAUACCGCAUAACGUCGCAAGACCAAAGAGGGGGACCUUCGGGCCUCUCACUAUCGGAUGAACCCAGAUGGGAUUAGCUAGUAGGCGGGGUAACGGCCCACCUAGGCGACGAUCCCUAGCUGGUCUGAGAGGAUGGCCAGCCACACUGGAACUGGGACGCGGUCCAGACGCCUACGGGAGGCAGCAGUGGGGAAUAUUGCACAAUGGGCGCAAGCCUGAUGCAGCCAUGCCGCGUGUAUGAAGAAGGCCUUCGGGUUGUAAAGUACUUUCAGCGGGGAGGAAGGCGAUGUGGUUAAUAACCGCGUCGAUUGACGUUACCCGCAGAAGAAGCACCGGCUAACUCCGUGCCAGCAGCCGCCGUAA
rnacentral:rRNA from 1 species